CUUUUAGUUUGCCGUUUAAAGUGAUUGUUUGUGUAUCGGGAUACCAUCGAAGAUCAAUAUCUUCGGAUUUAAACUGUUUAGCACCUCCUCCGGGGCAGCACCAACCGCCAUCAGCUAAAUUCAAUAUUUCUUCUACAAACUUCUGUAAAUCUUGCAAGGAUUUUGUCCAAAUCAACUUGCCUUUGUUGUUGAAUGAUACACCAUGCAGAAGACUCAUUUCUGGCAAAAAUUAAGCUUCAA